UGGGAAAUGGACUUCCCACAGAAUGGUCUCUGGCUCCUCCCCACCCGGUCGAAGCCCAGGGUGUCUGCAGAAUAUUUAUUACUUGUAAGUGAAAAAAAAAAAAAAAAAAAAAAACUCUCAGAAGCAAAGAUAAAAGGUUAAAUUUACAGAUGAGACGUGGAAAGUGAACAGGCUUCAAGAUUGAAAAAGAGUGUGCCACUUCAAGUACACAAAAAGGACAUUUGCUCAACCAUGUUUGUAGCAGCUUUAUUUGUAAUAGCCAGAGGCUGGAAACGACCCAGAUGCCCCUCAACUGAAGAAUGGAUGCAGAAAUUGUGGUACAUCUACACAAUGGAAUAUUACUCAGCAAUGAAAAAUAAGGAAAUCAUGAAAUUUGCAGCGAUAUUUUAGGUAAUUGGACUGGAGAAUUCGAUACUACGAUGGAGCAGCUGAGAGUGGCCAUUGUCACAGUAAAUUCUACCAGAGUGGACGCAGGACAACCCCAGGAUUAUCAUCAUGGAUUGCUGCAGCCAUGAAUCAUCUGAAGGAAUGGGUGGGCAUGGGAGCAUUAGCAGGCUUUCUGGUGUUGGUCUCCUUGGUUUGCCUGUGGUAUAUAUGCAAGAUUAGAGUGUCACAACAACGUAAUGCAGCCAUGACCAUUCAGGCCUUUACAGCCAUUGAAGCAGGACAGUCUCCCCAAGCAUGGUUGGCUACCAUAAAAAGCUAAAAUGUUAUGCUCAGGAUGCGAGGCUAAGCACUGCACUCAGGGUCAGCCGCUUUGGACCCAGAGAAGAGCAUGUUGAUGCCCCAGGUCCCGCCUCUGAGAAAAAGGUAUCGGUCGGGUCUGAUGCUCUUUGGGUGGAUGACACCUAAAUGAACAUCAGUACAAAGUCCAAAUUUAUUUCUAAUAUCAGAGAUCAGACCUCUACUCUUGCCUGAUGCGUCUAAAACAA